rnacentral:rRNA from 1 species
AGUGAACGCUGGCGGUAGGCCUAACACAUGCAAGUCGAACGGCAGCACAGUAAGAGCUUGCUCUUACGGGUGGCGAGUGGCGGACGGGUGAGGAAUACAUCGGAAUCUACUUUUUCGUGGGGGAUAACGUAGGGAAACUUACGCUAAUACCGCAUACGACCUACGGGUGAAAGCAGGGGAUCUUCGGACCUUGCGCGAUUGAAUGAGCCGAUGUCGGAUUAGCUAGUUGGCGGGGUAAAGGCCCACCAAGGCGACGAUCCGUAGCUGGUCUGAGAGGAUGAUCAGCCACACUGGAACUGAGACACGGUCCAGACUCCUACAGGAGGCAGCAGUGGAGAAUAUUGGGCAAUGGGCGCAAGCGUGAUCCAGCCAUACCGCGUGGGUGAAGAAGGCCUUCGGGUUGUAAAGCCCUUUUGUUGGGAAAGAAAAGCAGCAGGUUAAUACCCCGCUGUUCUGACGGUACCCAAAGAAUAAGCACCGGCUAACUUCGUG